ACAUCUGAAACGCUAAUGUAUUAUAAAUAUUAAAUUCUAAUUAAAAUACAUUGAGUAACUAUACUCAGAACACACAUAAUUAGAAUAAAAGUAGAUAAAUAAUUGUAGCCAUGAAUGCAAAACAGUGUAUACUGGACAUGUUUGUGUUUUCGAUAUCGUUUUAUUUGUCAUAUAAAGUUAUGAACAGGGUGAUAGACAGAUUCAGGGAUCCGAGAGCGACGAAAGCCUAACUAAAAUAAGGAUCCCAAAACUGAAAACCGAGAUCAGAUGCCACAGGUGGUGACUGGUGACCGAUAGCCUCACUGCAAAUAUUUAGUACCGUUUUGUUUUGAUAUCAUUGUAACAUGUAAGAAUUAAGAAAUAAAUUUUGUAAAAAAGCUAUUUAUAAGUUUUUAUUUAUUGACGCUAGUCACGUUGUCUACCUUUCUGUUGGUUCAAAAUCAAAUCUUGGAAGUUGAAUUUGACCUACUUCCCGGGUUGACAAUGACCUUAAUUUCGACAGCAUCUAAGAAACUAGAAGGUGGCUAUAGGCAAUCCUCAAAAAACACCAUCGAGUUAAUUGUCUUUUCGAGUAAUUCGAGUCUAAAGCAAAAAUAAAUGUAAAAUCUUGGUUUUGAGAAUGUUUUUUGAAAUAAAGUGGGCUGGCGGAUUCUGGAAAUAAUGAUACAUCUUAUAAUUAAGAUUAAUAUUUCAAAACCAAGUAAAAUAUUGCCAUUUAUUCACCUAUAACAUACUGAGAGAACGAGGGGCUAAAACAUUAAGACUAUAGAUUAUCAUUUUAAUAUCUUAUAUCAUACGAUCCAUACUUAUUACACAGAACUAUUUACUCAAAACUCACCAUAGAGAAGAAACUGGCUUACAAAAAAACACUAUAAUCUUCUGUGACACUGACAUUUAAGCAAAUCAUCAAAAAUAUAUCUAACCCAAAAACAUGUUAGCAAAACCCUUAAAAAAUCUACAUUCCAUACGAUAAAUGUGCAUUUGAUUUAUGAUAUUUAGCAUAACACAAGAAAUAUCAUUAACAUCCUCAAUAAUAAUGAACUCAGCAUUAUUUAAAUACGGUCGAAUGGAGAAGUAACGAACCCAACGUGAGGUAGUCCUAUGGGUCUGUUGGACAAGCAAGUAUGAAUGCCAAACAACUUGCACUAGAUUUGUGGGUGUUUUCCGUAUCUUUCUACAUAUCUUAUAAAGCAACGAAUAGACUGUCGAAUCAUUUUAAUACUGAUCGCAAGGAGAAGGCGAAGUCAAAAGUAUGAACAAAAGACAGAUUCUAUUAGACUUGUGGGUGUUCACCAUUUCGUUUUACAUAUCAUAUAAAGUUAUGAAGAGAUUAACGAACGCAUUCAACAAGUAACGAGGCGAUGAGACCUCAAAGUUAUCAGAGGUCUCGUUGAAAGGAGAUAUAAUGUAGGGUAAGUGUUCAAGGGCUGCGGAGGCGGCGGUAUGUGGUAGAAGUACGGCGGUGUGUACAACAUGUCGUCAAAUCCCGGGGCUAUGGGCGUCCCUCGCGACGGCACCAGCGACCGCACUGUCCCGUACAAGCUCCUGUUUCGUCCCUGACUCCCGUACAUGUUCAACAUCACACCGAAUUCACACUGGCUCAUAUAUUAUCUCCAAAUGUUCACGUUCGAAAACAGUCUCAUGAAAAAACGCACAAACGUAAAACAGCUCUCGAAAAGUCCAUCGCGGUACACAGUUUUCAAGUAUAACUUAUUUUUAAAAAUAAAAAAAUAAGCUACUAGA